rnacentral:lncRNA from 1 species
AUAGAAGAAGUGGUUAGGUAAGACUGGGUGUAGUCAUGUGAAGAUGUAGAGAAGAACUUUCCAAGCAGAAGAGACACAAAAUGCAAAAGCUAUGAGAUGGGCAAGAGCAUAUGUGUUAAUAAGACAGAAGGAAAGCCUGUGUGGAUGAGCAAUGGGAAAAGAGAAGAGAAAAGAAAAGAAAGAUGAAGUCUGAAGUCUAAGGAACAGGAACAAGUCUGAAUCUUGUACAGCCUUGUAGCCCAUGGAGUCUAAAAACUCAAACGUAUCUAAAAGCCAUGACACAGAAGGCCUGGAGACUGCAUGGAAUGAUGAGGACUGCAGUGAACUCUGAAGUGCCUACCCAUGUGAAACGAACAAGUGCUAUUCGGAAGAAGCAGGUUGUGUUAAUCUGAGGCCUUUGAGAUACUAUAUGAACUGCUCCAACAUUCUGAAGAGAAGGUCUGGAUCAUUUAAGUAGGACUUGCAAAGAAAGUGGCCUAGAUCCUUAGCUGAGCUGAUCACUUACCUCAAACCUAUAAAGAAGUGGAGGGGCCAAGAAUAGGUGUUGGAUAUCAGCGGGAGAGUUUCAUCAAAGAGCUGUCAGUUUCAUCUCAACCUUACCCUCCAGGAGAGGUAAGAUGUCCUCUGUCUCACAAUAAAUGAGUUUGACUUUUGGUCCUGGGCAUCUGUGGUACUGAGAGCUUAGGGCUGGCUCCAUGCUUUAAAAUAUGUAUAUGUGAGAACUGCAUGAACUCGCCAGUGCGGAGAUGAAAAAGAAAGAAAAAAGUCAGGAAGCUCCAGAAGCUUUCUACAUUUCCAUUUGAGAUAAGGACAAGGAUGCUUGAAUGUUUUUCUUGAAGAAGUGAACAAAUGGAACAGAAAUCUACAUUUUACCUGAGAGAGGAAAGAGAGUGCAUAACUGUUUCUCAUGAACCACAGUGAAGUUUGAGAGCAUAGGCUCAGAACCAACUCAAAUCCUCUAUACAAAGAUUGCCUGGAGAGUCAAGGUGAACACCCCUCCUACGCACACACCUGCCAACACACACACAAAAGACAGAGGAAGACUACAGGAUUGCAAAAGGAGAGAGAAGGAACACAAGUGGCUAGCUGAAGGAAAAGUAUUGCUUAAAUUUGGGGACCACUGCAGAAGGUUUCCAAUAGCACUCCAAAAAAAUAGGAGGCCACAUGAAUCAUAAUCAAUCCCAAAGGAAUCCAUCAUAAAUACUGGUCACAGCUGGAAGUAACCAAUACUCUAUUGGUGUCUGUCCUUGUUCAUGUACUUGUCUCCCCACCACUCCAAUCACUGAAGCUGAGUCUCUUGGGUGGUGUGCAAAGGAGAUCGAAUCCAGCCAAGUGACAGGAUGAAAGAGAAUCUGACCACACUCUCCAUACUUGCCAC